rnacentral:rRNA from 1 species
ACGCUGGCGACAUGCUUAACACAUGCAAGUCGAACGCUAUUUAUAGAGUGGCGCACGGGUGAGUAACGCGUGGGUAACUGCCCUUCUGAGUGGGAUAACGUUUGGAAACGAACGCUAAUACCACAUACGCCCUACGGGGGAAAGGUCCGCCGCAGAAGGAGGUGCCCGCGUCCGAUUAGCUUGUUGGUGAGGUAAUGGCUCACCAAGGCUACGAUCGGUAGCUGGUCUGAGAGGAUGAUCAGCCACACUGGGACUGAGACACGGCCCAGACUCCUACGGGAGGCAGCAGUGGGGAAUAUUGGACAAUGGGGGCAACCCUGAUCCAGCAAUGCCGCGUGUGUGAUGAAGGCCUUAGGGUUGUAAAGCACUUUCACUGGUGAAGAUUAUGACGGUAACCAGAGAAGAAGCCCCGGCUAACUUCGUGCCAGCAGCCGCGGUAAUACGAAGGGGGCGAGCGUUAUUCGGAAUCACUGGGCAUAAAGGGAGCGCAGGCGGUUUAAUUAGUCAGACGUGAAAGCCCCGGGCUCAACCCGGGAGGUGCGUUUGAUACUGGUAAACUAGAAAUCAGAAGAGGAUAGUGGAAUUCCCAGUGUAGAGGUGAAAUUCGUAGAUAUUGGGAAGAACACCAGUGGCGAAAGCGG